CACUAUCGUUAACUGAAUACAUAGGUUAACGAGGCGAACCGGGGGAACUGAAACAUCUAAGUACCCCGAGGAAAAGAAAUCAACCGAGAUUCCCCCAGUAGCGGCGAGCGAACGGGGAGCAGCCCAGAGUCUGAAUCAGCUUGUGUGUUAGUGGAACGGUCUGGAAAGUCCGACGGUACAGGGUGAUAGUCCCGUACACCAAAAUGCACAGGCUGUGAACUCGAAGAGUAGGGCGGGACACGUGGUAUCCUGUCUGAAUAUGGGGGGACCAUCCUCCAAGGCUAAAUACUCCUGACUGACCGAUAGUGAACCAGUACCGUGAGGGAAAGGCGAAAAGAACCCCGGCGAGGGGAGUGAAAAAGAACCUGAAACCGUGUACGUACAAGCAGUGGGAGCACCUUCGGGUGUGACUGCGUACCUUUUGUAUAAUGGGUCAGCGACUUAUAUUCUGUAGCAAGGUUAACCGUAUAGGGGAGCCGCAGGGAAACCGAGUCUUAACUGGGCGUUAAGUUGCAGGGUAUAGACCCGAAACCCGGUGAUCUAGCCAUGGGCAGGUUGAAGGUUGGGUAACACUAACUGGAGGACCGAACCGACUAAUGUUGAAAAAUUAGCGGAUGACUUGUGGCUGGGGGUGAAAGGCCAAUCAAACCGGGAGAUAGCUGGUUCUCCCCGAAAGCUAUUUAGGUAGCGCCUCGUGAACUCAUCUUCGGGGGUAGAGCACUGUUUCGGCUAGGGGGUCAUCCCGACUUACCAACCCGAUGCAAACUACGAAUACCGAAGAAUGUUAUCACGGGAGACACACGGCGGGUGCUAACGUCCGUCGUGAAGAGGGAAACAACCCAGACCGCCAGCUAAGGUCCCAAAGUCAUGGUUAAGUGGGAAACGAUGUGGGAAGGCACAGACAGCCAGGAUGUUGGCUUAGAAGCAGCCAUCAUUUAAAGAAAGCGUAAUAGCUCACUGGUCGAGUCGGCCUGCGCGGAAGAUGUAACGGGGCUAAACCAUGCACCGAAGCUGCGGCAGCGACACUAUGUGUUGUUGGGUAGGGGAGCGUUCUGUAAGCCUGCGAAGGUGACCUGUGAGGGUUGCUGGAGGUAUCAGAAGUGCGAAUGCUGACAUAAGUAACGAUAAAGCGGGUGAAAAGCCCGCUCGCCGGAAGACCAAGGGUUCCUGUCCAACGUUAAUCGGGGCAGGGUGAGUCGACCCCUAAGGCGAGGCCGAAAGGCGUAGUCGAUGGGAAACAGGUUAAUAUUCCUGUACUUGGUGUUACUGCGAAGGGGGGACGGAGAAGGCUAUGUUAGCCGGGCGACGGUUGUCCCGGUUUAAGCAUGUAGGCUGAUUGUCCAGGCAAAUCCGGAUAAUCAAGGCUGAGGUGUGAUGACGAGGCACUACGGUGCUGAAGUAACAAAUGCCCUGCUUCCAGGAAAAGCCUCUAAGCAUCAGGUAACAUUAAAUCGUACCCCAAACCGACACAGGUGGUCAGGUAGAGAAUACCAAGGCGCUUGAGAGAACUCGGGUGAAGGAACUAGGCAAAAUGGUGCCGUAACUUCGGGAGAAGGCACGCUGGUGUGUAGGUGAAGCCCCUGCGGGUGGAGCUGAGACCAGUCGAAGAUACCAGCUGGCUGCAACUGUUUAUUAAAAACACAGCACUGUGCAAACACGAAAGUGGACGUAUACGGUGUGACGCCUGCCCGGUGCCGGAAGGUUAAUUGAUGGGGUUAUCCGUAAGGAGAAGCUCUUGAUCGAAGCCCCGGUAAACGGCGGCCGUAACUAUAACGGUCCUAAGGUAGCGAAAUUCCUUGUCGGGUAAGUUCCGACCUGCACGAAUGGCGUAAUGAUGGCCAGGCUGUCUCCACCCGAGACUCAGUGAAAUUGAACUCGCUGUGAAGAUGCAGUGUACCCGCGGCAAGACGGAAAGACCCCGUGAACCUUUACUAUAGCUUGACACUGAACAUUGAGCCUUGAUGUGUAGGAUAGGUGGGAGGCUUUGAAGCGUGGACGCCAGUCUGCGUGGAGCCAACCUUGAAAUACCACCCUUUAAUGUUUGAUGUUCUAACGUUGGCCCCUGACCGGGGUUGCGGACAGUGUCUGGUGGGUAGUUUGACUGGGGCGGUCUCCUCCCAAAGCGUAACGGAGGAGCACGAAGGUUAGCUAAUCCUGGUCGGACAUCAGGAGGUUAGUGCAAUGGCAUAAGCUAGCUUGACUGCGAGCGUGACGGCGCGAGCAGGUGCGAAAGCAGGUCAUAGUGAUCCGGUGGUUCUGAAUGGAAGGGCCAUCGCUCAACGGAUAAAAGGUACUCCGGGGAUAACAGGCUGAUACCGCCCAAGAGUUCAUAUCGACGGCGGUGUUUGGCACCUCGAUGUCGGCUCAUCACAUCCUGGGGCUGAAGUAGGUCCCAAGGGUAUGGCUGUUCGCCAUUUAAAGUGGUACGCGAGCUGGGUUUAGAACGUCGUGAGACAGUUCGGUCCCUAUCUGCCGUGGGCGCUGGAGAAUUGAGGGGGGCUGCUCCUAGUACGAGAGGACCGGAGUGGACGCAUCACUGGUGUUCGGGUUGUCAUGCCAAUGGCACUGCCCGGUAGCUAAAUGCGGAAGAGAUAAGUGCUGAAAGCAUCUAAGCACGAAACUUGCCCCGAGAUGAGUUCUCCCUGAGACUUUAAGUCUCCUGAAGGAACGUUAAAGACGAUGACGUUGAUAGGCCGGGUGUGUAAGCGCAGCGAUGCGUUGAGCUAACCGGUACUAAUGAACCGUGAGGCUUAACCUU
rnacentral:rRNA from 2 species